rnacentral:rRNA from 1 species
CCUUCACAGCAGACAGGCCGCUCGCAAAGGGGUGUGCCUGCGUUUUGUAAUUGAUUUUGGAGGUACCGCAUGGCACAGGUCAAAGAACAGAACCCGGCUCAGGCUCAGAACAAUCCGAACAGAAACAGUGAAUCCGGCGGGGAAAAACGUACCCGCACCCGCCGCCCUUAUUAUAACCGGCGGCCCCGCCGUUCUCAGCAGCCCAAGGAGGCCGCUGUGCCCAUCCACAUCUACCCGCUGGGCGGUCUGGGCGAAGUGGGCAAGAACAUGACCGUGUACGAGUGCAACGGCGACAUGAUCAUCGUGGACUGCGGCCUUGUGUUCCCGGACAGCGACAUGUACGGCGUGGAUAUGGUCAUCCCGGACUUCACUCCUGUUGUUGGGGAAGAUAAUGACGGUACCCAACAAGGAAGUGACGGCUAACUACGUGCCAGCAGCCGCGGUAAAACGUAGGUCACAAGCGUUGUCCGGAAUUACUGGGUGUAAAGGGAGCGCAGGCGGGAAGACAAGUUGGAAGUGAAAUCUAUGGGCUCAACCCAUAAACUGCUUUCAAAACUGUUUUUCUUGAGUAGUGCAGAGGUAGGCGGAAUUCCCGGUGUAGCGGUGGAAUGCGUAGAUAUCGGGAGGAACACCAGUGGCGAAGGCGGCCUACUGGGCACCAACUGACGCUGAGGCUCGAAAGUGUGGGUAGCAAACAGGAUUAGAUACCCUGGUAGUCCACACCGUAAACGAUGAUUACUAGGUGUUGGAGGAUUGACCCCUUCAGUGCCGCAGUUAACACAAUAAGUAAUCCACCUGGGGAGUACGACCGCAAGGUUGAAACUCAAAGGAAUUGACGGGGGCCCGCACAAGCAGUGGAGUAUGUGGUUUAAUUCGACGCAACGCGAAGAACCUUACCAAGUCUUGACAUCCCUUGACGAUGCUGGAAACAGUAUUUCUCUUCGGAGCAAGGAGACAGGUGGUGCAUGGUUGUCGUCAGCUCGUGUCGUGAGAUGUUGGGUUAAGUCCCGCAACGAGCGCAACCCUUAUGGUCAGUUACUACGCAAGAGGACUCUGGCCAGACUGCCGUUGACAAAACGGAGGAAGGUGGGGAUGACGUCAAAUCAUCAUGCCCUUUAUGACUUGGGCUACACACGUACUACAAUGGCGUUAAACAAAGAGAAGCAAGACCGCGAGGUGGAGCAAAACUCAGAAACAACGUCCCAGUUCGGACUGCAGGCUGCAACUCGCCUGCACGAAGUCGGAAUUGCUAGUAAUCGUGGAUCAGCAUGCCACGGUGAAUACGUUCCCGGGCCUUGUACACACCGCCCGUCACACCAUGAGAGCCGGGGGGACCCGAAGUCGGUAGUCUAACCGCAAGGAGGACGCCGCCGAAGGUAAAACUGGUGAUUGGGGUGAAGUCGUAACAAGGUAGCCGUAGGAGAACCUGCGGCUG